rnacentral:rRNA from 1 species
AUCAGGAGGUUAGUGCAAUGGCAUAAGCCAGCUUGACUGCGAGCGUGACGGCGCGAGCAGGUGCGAAAGCAGGUCAUAGUGAUCCGGUGGUUCUGAAUGGAAGGGCCAUCGCUCAACGGAUAAAAGGUACUCCGGGGAUAACAGGCUGAUACCGCCCAAGAGUUCAUAUCGACGGCGGUGUUUGGCACCUCGAUGUCGGCUCAUCACAUCCUGGGGCUGAAGUAGGUCCCAAGGGUAUGGCUGUUCGCCAUUUAAAGUGGUACGCGAGCUGGGUUUAGAACGUCGUGAGACAGUUCGGUCCCUAUCUGCCGUGGGCGCUGGAGAACUGAGGGGGGCUGCUCCUAGUACGAGAGGACCGGAGUGGACGCAUCACUGGUGUUCGGGUUGUCAUGCCAAUGGCACUGCCCGGUAGCUAAAUGCGGAAGAGAUAAGUGCUGAAAGCAUCUAAGCACGAAACUUGCCCCGAGAUGAGUUCUCCCUGAGACUUAGAGUCUCCUGAAGGAACGUUGAAGACGACGACGUUGAUAGGCCGGGUGUGUAAGCGCAGCGAUGCGUUGAGCUAACCGGUACUAAUGAACCGUGAGGCUUAACCUU